UCCCAGACUCCUACGGGAGGCAGCAGUGAGGAAUAUUGGUCAAUGGGCGGGAGCCUGAACCAGCCAAGCCGCGUGAAGGAAGAAGGCGCCAAGCGUCGUAAACUUCUUUUGUCGGGGAACAAAGGGCGCCACGUGUGGCGUUGUGAGUGUACCCGAAGAAAAAGCAUCGGCUAACUCCGUGCCAGCAGCCGCGGUAAUACGGAGGAUGCAAGCGUUAUCCGGAUUUAUUGGGUUUAAAGGGUGCGUAGGCGGUCCGUUAAGUCAGCGGUAAAAUUGCGGGGCUCAACCCUGUCGAGCCGUUGAAACUGGCAGACUUGAGUUGGCGAGAAGUACGCGGAAUGCGCGGUGUAGCGGUGAAAUGCAUAGAUAUCGCGCAGAACUCCGAUUGCGAAGGCAGCGUACCGGCGCCAGACUGACGCUGAGGCACGAAAGCGUGGGGAUCGAACAGGAUUAGAUACCCUAGUA
rnacentral:rRNA from 1 species